UACGGAGGGCGCAAGCGUUGUUCGGAAUCAUUGGGCGUAAAGCGCGUGCAGGCGGCUUGGUAAGUCGGGUGUGAAAGCCCGGGGCUCAACCCCGGAACUGCACCCGAUACUGCCUCGCUAGAGUCCCGGAGAGGAUGGCGGAAUUUCCGGUGUAGAGGUGAAAUUCGUAGAUAUCGGAAGGAACACCAGCGGCGAAGGCGGCCAUCUGGACGGUGACUGACGCUCAGAAGCGAAAGCGUGGGGAGCAAACAGG
rnacentral:rRNA from 1 species